rnacentral:tRNA from 1 species
GCCACCGUAGCUUAUGCAAAGCAUAACACUGAAAAUGUUAAGUAGGGCCCUGAAAAGCCCCGGAAGCA